GGCGGUUCUCAGGUGACGCACCAGAAUCAGGUUCCCUCUCCUCUGGUUCCCGGUGCGUCACCCAAGAACCACA
rfam:Myotis lucifugus cont2.12381, whole genome shotgun sequence.